GACGAACGCUGGCGGCGUGCCUAAUACAUGCAAGUAGAACGCUGAAGGAGGAGCUUGCUUCUCUGGAUGAGUUGCGAACGGGUGAGUAACGCGUAGGUAACCUGCCUGGUAGCGGGGGAUAACUAUGGGAAACGAUAGCUAAUACCGCAUAAUAGCAGUUGUUGAAUGACAACUGUUUGAAAGGUGCAAUUGCACCACUACCAGAUGGACCUGCGUUGUAUUAGCUAGUUGGUGGGGUAACGGCUCACCAAGGCGACGAUACAUAGCCGACCUGAGAGGGGGAUCGGCCUCCCUGGGACUGCGACACGGCCCCGAAUACUACGGGAGGCAGCAGUAGGGAAUCUUCGGCAAUGGACGGAAGUCUGACCGAGCAACGCCGCGUGAGUACAGAAGGUUGUCGGUUCGUCAAGCUCUGUUGUAAGCGAAGAACGAGUGUGAGAGUGGAAAGUUCACACUGUGACGGUAUCUUACCAGAAAGGGACGGCUACCUACGUG
rnacentral:rRNA from 1 species